CACGUAGGGGGCGAGCGUUGUCCGGAUUUAUUGGGCGUAAAGAGCUCGUAGGCGGCUCAGUAAGUCAGGUGUGAAAACUCCAGGCUCAACCUGGAGACGCCACCUGAUACUGCUGUGGCUAGAGUCCGGUAGGGGAGCAUGGAAUUCCUGGUGUAGCGGUGAAAUGCGCAGAUAUCAGGAGGAACACCAGUGGCGAAGGCGGUGCUCUGGGCCGGAACUGACGCUGAGGAGCGAAAGCGUGGGAGCGAACGG
rnacentral:rRNA from 1 species